UAAUUUAUCGUUACAUUCAAUGAUUGAUUAAACAUUUGAAUAGUUUGCAUUGUAUUGGUUAAGAAAGGAAAAGUUGAUCAAUUGAUUCGAAACUGAAUUUGAAUCAAUUUUUUGUUAAUUCAUCUAACAGAUUGCAAUUAAGUAAACGACCCCGGAAAAAACCGCGCUCUUAUGACGAGACAGAGGAAGACAGACGAUCAACUGUAACAUUCACUUUCAAUGGUUGAUUAUGUUUCUUUUUUCUUGUGCCUCAAGCAAUUAAUUGAUUUACUUGUUUUUUUUGAGUUAGUUUAAUGUUUAAGUGUAAUUAUUUGAUCCUUCUAGUUGUCUAUUAUUUGAGUACAAAGAUAUCACCUUGAUAUCUAAUGGUGAAAUGUAAUUAUUGUGUCUUCAAUUUUGAGUUCUUCCUUUUGGCUUUUUUUUCUUGCUUCUCUACCUGUUUCAGUAGCCUAUUGACCUAUCAUCAAUAUCAUCAUUUGAAUCAUCGUUUAGCCUUCGUCUUUAUUUAAGUCACCCUACUUCAUCUCCUCUUCAUCUUCAUCAUUAUAUCAUCUUUGCCAUUCUGCCAUUAUCUUUAUUCGUCAAUCUUUUGGGUUUCACUCUCUUCGUAUUUGGCUUGGUAAACCCAAAGAGUAAUAGCAAGAGAGAGCACGUCAAUGAGAGCUAUAGAUAAGAGAGAUAAGAAGUUAAAAGGUGACGGAAAAGAGGGAGCUAGCAGCGAGAAAGAGAUGAUGAAAGAGACGAAAAAAUGACAAAAAAAUAAAUGUAAACAAAUUUUUUGAUGAGAAAAAGUUGAAAAAAAUUAAAGAAAAAUUAAAAGGGUUGUUAGUGGCGCCAUCGCGUCCGAGACCUUUUCCCUAUCCUUAUCUCAAAAAGAUAAUUAACAUUGCAUGCUACCUCUUGUUAUACUCUUUGGGUAAACCUGUUUGUUGGAGAAAUGUUUGAAAAUUGAAUUUUAUUAAUUUGUCUUCACUUUUGAUUAGUGGAAACAACUAAUAUAUUAAUCAAUUGUCAAUCAAUAAAUUUUGUAUUUUAUUCAUAUUCAAUCACUUUUGUUUUUUGCUUGCUUCAAUACAGCAGCAGCAGCAACAACAACAACUUUGCAAUUUGAAUAAACUGAAUACAAUUUAAUAGAUUGAGGUAGUUAGGUAAUAAGAGGAGAAACAAGUGAAACUGGAUUUUUUUUGUAAACAAUUUUUGUUUCAAUCAUUUUGAUUACAAAUUCAUAAUCGGUUGAUUUGACUUAAGUAUAAGAUAUUAAGGUAUUAUGCAGAAUAUAAAUAUAUAUAUUUAUAUUCGUGAUAAAAAAGGUGGCGAAAAAGAAAGGAUAAGAUGAGGAUGAAGAUGAAAAAAAGUAGCUUGUAAAGAAGAUGAAAUAACAGAAACAGAUUACAUUGUUAACAUCGUGAUUUUGUUUCGGAUGAUGAUUGGUUGAACAUUAAACAUCCUGGUGAUUUGGAUUGCAGUAAUCUAACAACCACAAUCCUGGCAACCAAAAACCUUAAACCCUGUUCAUCUUUUUAAUCGAUAUCAUCUUUAACCAUUAACAAUACCAACAGCUUCUGAUCUGGCGAGCGAAUAACAAAAGGCCAUUCUUUCACCAUGUACCUAACCAAGUCUAUUAAGCAUUACAAUCAAGCCAUUGGAACUAACUGAUCACAAUCAAAUUUAUGUAUAUUCAUUAAUUUGAUCUGGUUUUUUUUAUAUUGUACAUUGUAAAUGGUUACAACACUACUAUAAUAUCGUCUCUCUGUUGCUGGUGAUGAUAAUAAAUCAAAUAAGGUGAAGUAAAUCACGAUGUCGGCCACACACACAACUAAUAACAUCGAGAAUCAAAUCUCAAGAUUAAGGUCAAGACUUAAAUAAUUUUACUUUUUUUUCCUUUCCAUUUUCUUUUUUAUCAUUAGUAUCUUUACCUUAACUUGAUCUCACUUGACCAGGAAGGGGCAAGUUUCCCUUUUAAUCACCAUGCUCAUCAUCUCAGCAUCAUAAUACUCUCUAUCCAACAAUCAAAACAAUUAAUCUAAUCUAUUUCUACUUGUUUCAUUUUAUCCUUUCUCUUAUUAGCUGUGAUUCCCAUGAAAAUGACCUUAAGACCUGAUGAUGGAUGGAUAUGGAUCAAUGCAUAAGAGCAAGAUUAAAUAGUAAAGAUGAAAGUAUAUCAAAUUUUUGUAUAACGUUAUAUGAUGGAACACAUAAAAAAGGUUAAAAGGGUGAAGAGGAAUUAUGAUUAUUAUAAAGAUCAUCAAAACAAUUGACUCAACAAUCAUGUUCUGAUUCUCAUAAGGCAAUUGGUUGUGUUUUUUUCACUUCUUUACCUUCAUCUCCUGUUCAACAACCGUUUAACUAUUACAAUACAAAUAACAACAGCAACAUUCAUCAAAAACUAUGACAAACAUGAAAUUAGAUGAUAAUGAUGAUCUAAAAAUCUUGAAAGAUGUUCACCAUAAUGAUCAUGAUUUAGAUUAUUAGGAUUAAUACAAGGAAACAUUGAAACAAGUCUGGAUUAUGAUUAAAUUUGUGUGAAUUUCAUCAUCAUCAUCAUAUUUAAAAGUGUAUAAACAACAACAACAACAACAUAAUCAUCAUAAUCAACUUGAUAAUCAUUAUCACCUGGUGAAACGUGCUGAUGAAGAAGCAAAAUGGUAAUAAUACGAUUGUACAAGUUACGUACUAAUUGAAUUUCAAAUUGUCCAAGUGAUGACACCAUAAUCAACAUUUUAACAAAACUCAUUCUGAUUUUGCAGUUAUUUCACAUUUGGAUUGUCUAAUAACUCAGCAAUUAGGAAAAAUGUGAAAACAAAGCAAAAGGGCAAAACUGUUAUUAACAUCGUUUAAACUCAUAAUUGCAACUCUUGCAGUUGAAACGACAAUAAUUAAUAGCCAUUCAAUGUUAAUAAUGAGGUUGCUGAUAAUACUUCCUGUCAUCACCACAAACAUUUUCAACGAAACCAUCAUUUUUCAUUAAUAACUGAACUGAAAUUGGCCAUCAUCAUCAACAUAAUGCAAAAGCUGAUCUAAAUUAAAAAACAACUGCAGUUGAGCAAAGGCAAAAAGUGAACGUACAAAGCAUUUUAAAGUGAAACAAGUUUGAUGAAUUAAAAAUGAUUAUGUAGUCAUUAAUAAUAUUAUAAUAAUAUAUAUAGAUAUAUUUUUAAUACCUACAAUUUACUAAUCAUCAUCAAUUGAAGUUUUGCCUUUGCUUUUGUUUUAAAAAAAAACUUGCCAAAUAUCAAUACAAAAUAAAUUGAUAAACUAUGGGGUCAGAUUUAUUUUUAAUUUGCUUUGCUUAAAAGAUUUUUGAAACUUUCUGUAUUUGAUUAAUACACUUUAAUCUUGAAGCAAUGAAACUGAUGGUGAUGGAGAUGAUAAUGAUUUAGUUGGCCUUCUUUAAAUAUUCAAUUUAACGUUGAUAACAAGGCAGAAAGAUGAUCAUGAAGAAAGAGACGAUUCAAGGUAGAAAAAUAAAUGAAAAUGAGUUUCAAUUUUCACCAAAUUAUAAUUGGUCUACCCUGAAGGUUAAUACGGAAAAGAAGAAGAUGAGCUGAACCAAGUCCCGAAUCCUAAUUUUUAUCACAUCACAAGAAAAUUACUUUCAUUUAGCACUAAACGGCUCAAUCUAAACGCUUUAUUGUCACCAUCCCCUGACAACCUUUUGUUGGUGGCACUUUUGAUGUGACCGUUACUCUUCACAGUUAGUAAAUUAUGAAAAUGACAAAUCCCAGACAAUUAAAAAAGACAUUAAGUUGAAUUGUUCAAGAUUAACCAUUUCACCAUUGAUCUUCAACAUUGACAACAAAGCAUUUGCGGGAAACAAAAAAGAGCCCAUUUUGAAUUUCUUAAAAUUUGAUGAUCUUUUUUUGUAUUUAGUCAAUUGUUAUCAUUAUCAAUUAUUAGUCUAUUAUUGUUGACUUAAACGAUACACAUCAAGGUCUUGAAUGUUAACAGCGGUCGACUUGUAACAAUUAAACAUUGUGAUCAAUUUUUAGGUGUUCAAGUUUAUUUAA